CAAGGUUGACCUCGGAUCAGGUAGGGAUACCCGCUGAACUUAAGCAUAUCAAUAAGCGGAGGAAAAGAAACCAACAGGGAUUGCCUUAGUAACGGCGAGUGAAGCGGCAAUAGCUCAAAUUUGAAAGCUGGCGUCUUCGACGUCCGCGUUGUAAUUUGUAGAGGAUGCUUCGGCGAGGACUCCUGCCUAAGUCCCCUGGAACGGGGCGUCACAGAGGGUGAGAAUCCCGUAUGUGGCGGGCGGUCCGAGCCAUGUGAAGCUCCUUCGACGAGUCGAGUUGUUUGGGAAUGCAGCUCUAAAUGGGAGGUAAAUUUCUUCUAAAGCUAAAUAUUGGCCAGAGACCGAUAGCGCACAAGUAGAGUGAUCGAAAGAUGAAAAGCACUUUGGAAAGAGAGUUAAAAAGUACGUGAAAUUGUUGAAAGGGAAGCGCUUGCAACCAGACUCGCUCGCAGUUGCUCAGCCGGCCUCUUGGCCGGUGUACUCUUCUGUGAUCGGGCCAGCAUCAGUUCGGGCGGCCGGAUAAAGGUGUCGGGAAUGUAGCACCCUUCGGGGUGUGUUAUAGCCCGGCGCGGAAUGCGGCCAGCCUGGACUGAGGAUCUCGCUUCGGCAAGGAUGCUGGCGUAAUGGUUGUAAGCGGCCCGUCU
rnacentral:rRNA from 1 species